AAUUUAAUGAAAGCUAAAAAGAAGCUAAUCAUUGUUAAUGAUAAAACUGAUAAAAAUA
rnacentral:tRNA from 1 species